UUCCUUUUCGAAAAAAGAAAAAAGAAAGACAAAAUCUUUGCAACUUCAGCAUUAUUGGGAAAUCCAUUCAUACAUGGGGCCUUUGCUGAUCCAUGCAGUUAGUUUGGCUCAUCUCCCAAGCACAUCCAAUGGUAUCUUUGCUAGAUAGGAGCUUUGGAUAGAGACGAUUUUCAUAGAGUGCGACUCUGCAACGAUUAUUGAAUGGAUUCGGGAUGACACGAAGUAGCUGGAGACUCCUCCACUUCUUUGUAACAUUUAGACUGCUCUUUAUCUCUCUGUCGCGGUAUAUAUCUGGCAUGUCUUUCAAAAGAUAAACAGUGCGGUAGAUUGGAUUGCAUCUUAUAUUAUGGAACAUUUCAGAGAUUAGAUCUAAAGAUUGGAGAAGAUGUACCGGCCAACCC
rnacentral:lncRNA from 1 species